AACGAACGCUGGCGGCAGGCUUAACACGUGCAAGUCGAACGCAUCCUUCGGGGUGAGUGGCAGACGGGUGAGUAACGCGUGGGAACGUGCCCUUCAGUUCGGGAUAACCCAGGGAAACUUGGGCUAAUACCGGAUACGUGCGAGAGCAGAAAGAUUUAUCGCUGAAGGAUCGGCCCGCGUCUGAUUAGCUAGUUGGUGGGGUAAUGGCCCACCAAGGCGACGAUCAGUAGCUGGUCUGAGAGGAUGAUCAGCCACAUUGGGACUGAGACACGGCCCAAACUCCUACGGGAGGCAGCAGUGGGGAAUAUUGGACAAUGGGCGCAAGCCUGAUCCAGCCAUGCCGCGUGAGUGAUGAAGGCCCUAGGGUUGUAAAGCUCUUUCGUCCGGGACGAUAAUGACGGUACCGGAAGAAGAAGCCUCGGCUAACUUCGUGCCAGCAGCCGCGGUAA
rnacentral:rRNA from 1 species